rnacentral:rRNA from 1 species
GACAGAGGGGGCAAGCGUUGCUCGGAAUUACUGGGCGUAAAGGGCGCGUAGGCGGGAUGGCAAGUCGGUCGUGAAAUCCCUCCGGCUCAACCGAGGAACGUCGAUCGAUACUGCUGUUCUUGAGGAUUGCAGAGGAGACUGGAAUUCCCGGUGUAGCGGUGAAAUGUGUAGAGAUCGGGAGGAACACCGGUGGCGAAGGCGGCCAGCUGGGCCAGGUCCGACGACUGAAGGCGCGAAAGCGUGGGGAGCAAACAGG